GGUCGGUUCUUGGGUAUGCACCCCGGAAUUGGGCUCCCUCCUCUCUGGUUCUGGGGUAGCAUCACCUGAGAACCACU
rfam:Myotis brandtii contig285322, whole genome shotgun sequence.